rnacentral:lncRNA from 1 species
GAUCAUUCUGAGUUCCCCCAGGAGUGAGUCUCAGCUUGAUGCCAGCCCAUCUUUACCACCAUCUCAGACUUGCUGACUUUCCUUUCUAACAAGGAUGAGUUCCCAGCAUUUGGAGCUCCUCCUAAAUAUUACAUCCUGGGGAAGCCUUUCUUGGGCCCCCGGACUGGACGCGACCUGUGACAUGCGACCCCCGGACUGGACACGACCCUUCUGUGACACCCUUUGCAAGCUCUGCGAUGUCUCCUUCACUGUGCCCACUGCAGCUCAUGACAAACAUGUGUUUAUUGGAUUCAUGGUGGCUUCCCUCACUGAUUAUUAACCCCAGGAAGGCAGAAACCGGUCUACAUAUAUCAACAAUGAGCUCAGAGAUUGCAGCCCAGAAGUCAUCAUUUAAUGGAGGACUGACUGCAGCCCACAGGGGGCUGGAGGGAACAUUCAGACCCACCUGCCAUCGCCAUGCAUGGAUGGACGCCCACUCUGGCUGCUCUGAGAGCACCUGUGACCAGAACACAAAGGACACCAUGAGCUGCAAACUGCUAAACACGCCCGGGAAAUGAUAAGUAGUGCCAGUCGAGGCUCCUCAGUGCCAAGCCAGCCAGUAUCCUCUCCUCUCCAAACACCGAAAGCCCUGGGAAUUCCCUGGAGGAGAGGAAGGAACCAGAUGCCUGAAAUGAGCUUGCCCCAGGCCGGGAAGCUGUGCGCGGCCCUGCGAGCACCUGGUGCCCUCUAGUGGCCACAGGCGGCCCUGCAGGGCCACAUUUUCUGGGGAGGGCGCAGAGACCCCACUCACUCUUCAAUUGAACUUGCUAACAGGUUUAAACUGCAGGAUCUGCCUUUGACAACAAGAUAAGGAGGGGACAGGGGAGGGAGGGUGCCAGGAUGUUCUUUUUGUGCCAGAAAUGGACAAAGCUGGCGGCUACUAAUAGACUUCGUCCUUCUAAUGCUGCCCGAGGGGCUGGACUGGCCCCGUCCCUGUUUCCCCAUCCGCCUGGAUUCCUGGCUGAGCCCAGAGCUCCCACGUGGACACUCUGGGGCGGAUCAUUGGCCAAGGACUCACAGAGUUGGGACCGACUUUGUUAAAGCACUGAACUAGCUUCCUUGGAGCCCCAAAGGGAGGGGCGGGACCUUCACUUCAGAAAUAAGAAGACAGACUCAGAGAGGGUUUGUGGCUUUCCCAAAGAUACCUCAUUCCAGGAUUUGAACCCCAGUCUCUCACUCGAGACCCCAGGUACUUGCUGUGGCCCAUACCUUCCCCAAAUUAUCCACCAACAGCCAGUCAACCUGGGGCAGGGCUGUGGGGGAGAAACAUUUGUUUACUAAAUCACAGAGUCCCUCUGCCCGCUGGAGGGGAGAGGAGAAUGCCACCAAGUGGGCGGGGGUGGGGCAUUGCAUCCCAGCAUUUGAAUGGGCAGGGAGGAAAUGGGGCACAGGACUUCUAGAACUUGCAGUUUUGCUCAUUCGGGCUGUCUAGGGAGGUGGUGACAGGGAGAGACUAAACUGAAAUGUGCCUGUGACUUCCAUCUCAGGAAGAUGGAACAUGUUCAACCCCAAGCCAUGUUCGGGGUCUGUGGCAAGCAGGAAUUCUCCUUUAUUUUCCAAUAGGGUUAACAAUCUUUCCCAGGAAGAGCACGGAAGGUAUUUUCUCGCUGUAAAUCAGCAGCAGAUAGGGUUUGUCUAUCUUGACGACGAGUGGUGUCUCCAUGGGCAGAGUCUGUGCUCCGGUGCCAGCGGCCCCUUCCGUACCCCUCUCAUCCAUCUUCAGCUCAGCCUUGUGCACAGCCUACGGAAGCCAAGGGCAAAGUCAAGGUCUGCCAAGCUCCUUGGCGACCACAGUGGGCCGGAGGCCCAGAGAGGAUCAGAGAGGAAGACCACUUGGCCCAAGCCAUCCAGCACAGCAGUAACUUGGUUUACUCCAGGGUUCCUGGCUCUUUCGCCAUUAAUGCUGGAGAAUAUUCGACAAGCAGAUGCCGUGUGAAGGAAAAGAUGGUGCAGGGGGAGCAUCAGUUACGGGAGUCGGUGGGGGGAGAGAUGGAGUGGGGUUUGCUUCUCUUUCUCAUGGGUUACAGGGAAGCAUCAACCAUAGCCGUGGCAGAAAGGUCUACUGGGCUGUAGCUGGGUGAAAGUGAGGUGGUGGUACCCCCACCCUGAAGCCUCCAGCACCUCCUUUCAUCCACCUGGUGGAUGGUUAAGAGGGAGAAGGAUUCUGGAUUAGCUCUUUGAGAUGACUUGCAUCCCAAAUCCACUCCAAAGGCAUCAACGUCUGUAAACAGGUGAUCAGUACUGGGAAACUAACGGGCAUGUGUGAAAUCCUGGCACAUUUCUUGCUAGCCUACAAAAUUCUCACAAUUUUACUUGCAGAAAACAGGACAGUAUCCUGUGUUACAAUCACAGCUAUCAGCAAACGUAACUACAGAAAGAAAUGAGCCAUUAAACUCAACAAGACCUUCAGAGCUGGUGUUAAAUGUUUGUGGGAAGUCUGUGGCAGGAAAGCUCAAAAGUGAGAAAAUUCUAGUAACUAUGUUUCUUAUGUCAACGUGAAAAAUACAGUGGAAUCUGUGCCAUCUGAUUCAGAGCAGCGGGCUCAGCUUGGCAAGCUGGAUCCUUCCCAGACUGGCUUGAACCUCCCACUUUAUCUCCACUAAGCACCCAAUCCCCACCACCCACUACUCCAUGAUAUCCAAAAACCCCCAGCCUUGGCCACACUGCUGCACCCAUCCCCGCACCCAUCUCUGCUUGUUGAAAUCUUUCCCCUCCUUCAAUGCCUUUUUAACCCCAAAGUAGGGUUGCCAGGUGAAAUACAGGACAUCCACUGAAAUUUGAAUUCAAGAUAAACAAUGAAUAUGUUUUAGUGUAAGUGUGUCCCGUGAAAUAUUCUGAACAUACUGGCACUAAAAAUAUUAUUCAUCAUUUAUCUAAAAUUCAAAUUUAAUUGGGUAUCCUGUAUGAAAUCUGCUAAAUCCGGUGACUCUACCUAUAUGGUGCUCUCUUCUUGCCCCAGACAGUCAGGUGCUCACCUUUGCCAGGGGCCACAGGCCCCUUUGCUUGGUCAUCUCUUCCUAUGCAGCAUAUGCUUAUGCCAACUCAUAUGAAACAUGUGGCCUUGGGCGCGGUGGCUCACGCCUGUAAUCCCAGCACUUUGGGAGGCCAAGGUGGGUGGAUGACCUGAGGUCAGGAGUUUGAGACCAGCCUGGCCAACAUGGUGAAACCCUGUCUCUACUAAAAAUACAAAAAAAUUAGCCGGGCAUGGUGGCGGGCGCCUGUAAUCCCAGCUACUCGGGAGGCUGAGGCAGGAGAAUUGCUUGAACCUGGGAGGUGGAGGUUGCAGUGAGCUGAGAUCGCACCACUGUACUCCAGCCUGGGUGACAGUGCAAGACUCCUUCAAAAAACAAAAUAAAAGAAAGAAAGGAAGGAAGGAAGGAAGAGAGAGAGAGAGAGAGAAAGAAAGAAAGAAAGAAAAAAAGAGAGAGAGAGACAGAGAAAGAAAAAGAAAGAAAGAGAGAAAGAGAGAGAGAAAGAGGAAAGAAAGAGAGAGAGAAAGAGAGAAAGAAAGAGAAAGAAAGAAAGAAAAGAAAGAAAGAAAGACGGAUGUGGCCUUUGAGAGAGGGUCUGGGUUAGACCUAGACCAGUUCUAGGCCUGAUAACUGUUCCAGGCCUUGAUCAACGUUUGCUACAUUGAAUUGAUUUCCAAAAUAGCAGCAGUUUUAAAGACUGGAAGCAUGAGGCUGGGGGAGGUUAUGUGGUUUGCCCAGGAUCACGGGGUUGGUAAGGGGCACAGCUGCAUUCAUGCCCGCCCCGACUGGUGGGUGGAGUCUCGGCUCUGACAGCCACUGUGACCCUGGCUCUGGCCCCGGCUGGGGGAAGGCCCCUGUGCUGCAGGGAGUGGAGUCCAGGCUAGGCAGGCUUACCUCGCCCACUUUCAGGCUGCGAUGAGGGGCGAUCUUGGUGAGAUCACCAUGUUCCUCAAAGAUUUUGGAGACACCUAUGUAGGAGAGAGUCUUCUUCAGGUCGAAGGUGCCCGUCAUGUGGAGUCUGGGUACAGACACGUCUACGACCCUGGGGAAUUGACACGACAAGGGUGAGUGGUCAAGUCCUGUUGUGUUGCAGGGCAAGCCUCAGGAUACAUGACCAAUGAAACAUGUGUCCUCCCAGCCCCAAAGGUCUCCAAUCUCUCUCCAUCCACAGAAUGAGGAGGGGCUCCUUAACCCUGGGACCCUGGUUUCAAAACACCAUAAGCUCUCUGAACCGUGUCCCUGCCUCCCAGCACACCUGCCCCAGAGCCCUCUACAGGGAGUGUUCUCAAGUCUCAAGUUCCCCCGUCUCAGAGCCCCUUCAGCCACAGUCACUGAUGAUGUCCACACUGUAGUCGCUGCCAUGCCUGAGCCCUGAGCCCAUCCUGACCCCAGAAGACCUGACACUGGAGGGAACAAGGCACCCAGAAUCUGGAGGUAGACAGAACUGAGUUCAAAUCCACUCUGCCUCUCAUGAGCUCUGUGACCUUCCCUCUCUAAGUCACUUGUGUGAGAAGGAAAAUGAUCACCGUCGCUCCUGCGGGACACUAGGGGUGCUAAGGCAAAUGCAGACAAGGCACUCAGCAGACAGUUGGUGCGUAGCAGGUGCCCAUCCUCCUGCCCUCCAACUAGCAGCUUCACAUCCUCUGUGGCUGAACCGCGAUCAGCCUCCUGCCCGGAGCCUGGGGCCCAGGCUCUCCUGAGGUACCUGCAGACCCUGGAUUCCCGUUCACCUGGCCUUGCACCCUAUUUUCCCACCUACCCAAGGAUCUCAUUCCUGCCUAUGUGUCCUCUCUCUCCUGCAUCAUCCUUAAACAGUGCCCCUUUGAUCCUCCUCUGGAGGAGGCCUCAUGCUAGAGUGACCCUAUCCUCAAAAACUAACACCAAGAGAUCUCUCUUGGCCCUGAAUAGCCUCUCCAGCUUCCAGCUCAUUUCUUUUCUUCCUUUUAUAGCAGCUAUCUCCACUCCCUCCCACAAUUGCCUCAGUCCACUCCAGUCGGCUCUUUGACCUCAACUUUUUAUGGAAGCAACUCUUUCCAGAGUCACCGUUGACAACCAGCCCCACGUCCCAGAGCCAGCUCUCAGUGAGCCGCACGUGAUGGUAAUCCCUUUCUCCAAGGUGAAGCAUUCCAGGUCCACCCCUUGAGGCUUCUCCUCCUUCCCCACCACUCCUGCCCCUGUCGGGCUCCACCCCUCCCAUCUCUACCGGUGACACUGCUGCUUCCAGGCUCAGACCUUGGUCCCCUUCUCUUUUCCACCUUCACUCCAUCCCCAUACAUGUCAUUCAGUCUCACAGCUUUGAAUAUCAUCAACAGGCCCAACGACUCCCAAAUUUACCUUUCCACUCAUUCAUUCACUCAACAAACAUUUAUUAAAUCUCUACUGUAUACCAGGUGCUGUUCUAGGUGCUGGAGAUGCAUCUAUGAACAGAGCAGGCAAAGAUCCCUGCCCCUGACUGUGUGUUCUAGCAGGGAAGACAGGUGAUAGAAUCAACACAACAAAAAGUACCACUUAAGCCUACAUACAUGUACUAGCGGUAUGCAGAAGGCAGUAAGUGCUAUGGAAAAAAAUAAAUAGAUUGACUUGCAGGAAUCGAGGAUUGGUCCAAAGUUUGAGCAAACCUUGAGGCAGGCAAGAGAGUUAGACAAAUUGGGGUUUUUUUUCCUGAAUAAAAUGGGGAGUCACUGUCGGGUUUUGAACAGAGGAGUGACAUAGUCUUGCUUAGGAUUUAAAAGGAUCAUUCUGUUGCCUCUGUUAAGAAUAUACUCUUGGUGGUGGUGGUGUGUGUAGUGGGGAUGGGCAAAAAUUGAUGCUGGGAGACCAUUUGGAAGCUAGUGUGGUAGUCACAUGUUGGGAGCCACAGAGACGGCGGAAAGAUACCAAAUUCCAGAUGUGGUUUGCUGUAGGCUAAAGGAGUUUCCUGACAGACUGAAUGAGGCAUUUGAGGGUGGUCAGGGUGACUCCAAGGUUUUUGGCUUGAGCAACUAAAAAGAUGGAGUCACCACUGAUUGAGAUGGGCAGGCUUGGGGAGGUUCUCUGGGGACAGAUCAGGAAGUCAUUCUGGAUGUGUUGACACUAAGCUCCAAUUACACAUCCUGGGGACAUUCUGGGUAAACAGAAAGAUCCACGACUCUGGAAUUUGGGGGAGAACAGGGGCUGGGGAUGGAAGCAUGGCAGUCGUGGUAAUAGAGAUGGUGUUUAAAGCUCUUAGCCUGUGAGCUCACUCAGGGGUAAGUAUAGACAGAAAAGAAGGCUGGGAACUGAGCCCUGAGACACUCACCUCUGAGACCUGGAGGAGGAGAGGGGUCUCCAGCAAAGGAGAUUGAGGAGGGGAGAGGUGGGAGGUGAUGUGAGAGUGGAGAGCUGGAAGCCAAAUGAAGAGUGCCUUAAGGAGGUGGGGACAGAAACCAGCCGAAGAGCGAGGCCUGAGACUGACUGCACUCUGCAACACAGACACCCUUGGGACCCUGGGAAGGGAGCUUUCUGUGAGAAGUGGGUGCAGAAGCUGGACUGGAGUGGAUUUAGGAGAGGAUGAGAGGAACUAGGGGCUGUGAACAGAGGCAACUGCUUCAUGGUAUUCACCUGCAAAGGGGGAGUGACGAAAUGGAGGAAUAACUGGGGGAAAGCAGAGGUCAAGAGAAGCUUUUAUGUUGGGAAAAAUAAUAGCAUUGAGAUUUCCUGCAGGCCAGCACAAGCCAUACAGGCCUGCCUGCACAGAAGGCAGACACCUGCUUUGUCUUCUUGCAUAGAAGCCACUUCUAUGAGCUGUAAGUUUUCCCUGGCCCCCUGCGAGGUUUCAUGAUAGGAAAGAUAAGGGCAUCUUUGUAUCUGAUGGAAAUGAUUCAGAAGAGAGAAAAACAUAUGCUGAUGUAGGAAAGUGAGGAGAGGAUUUCUAGGGUGAUGUUCCUGAGUAGCAGGGGGCCGUAGGUCCAGUGCGUAAAUGAGGAGAUCGGCUUUAGUUUGUGCCAACGUGGGAAGGCACUAAGUGCAGCUGUGCUGACAGGUGAGUGCAUAUACCAAUAUGUACGGAAAUGUGUGGGGGGCACCCAGGCUGGGAGUGGACCCUCGACACUUCUGAACAGGACAAUGGCUAUUUCAAAGCCACCAGCAGUUUUCUGCUCCUAAAGGUGGACCCUGGGAAACAGAGCUUUUCCUCUGGGGAAAUCAGAGCAGCACCUGGCCUCAAAUUAUGCAAAUCCAAAGCAGGUGUCUGCCUCCUGCACAGAGGCCAGGUGGAAGUCAUCCGAAGCCUAAAUUCUGACAUGUUCUACACACAUGUAAGUUGGUGUGUGUCUGUUGACUUGGUUACUUCUUUUAGGGAAAAGGUGAUUUUUCUGCUCAGUGUCUUCUAGGCCCUCCAGUCUGGAGAGGACUGCAGAAAGAAUGCAUAGGGAUAGCCCGUCCACCUCUGCUCUCCCAUAGCGGGCCACUGAGCUCUCUGGACUAGGCUUCCCACCUGUAGAUCAAAGCAACUUGACCACUUAUCUCCCAGAAAUAAUGAGCUCAGAAGGUAGGAAUGUUUGUUCCUAUCAUGUUCUAAUGAAAUGUAAUUCCCUGGGGACGGUGAGCAAGCCCCCUGUCCUGCAAGAGGAUUUGGAGUUUCUUCUCGGGAAGGUGGACAAUACCCUGUCUGUCAUUCCAAGGCCAGAAGUGACUGGGUAGGCAAGACAUCCCUGGGGUGAGAGGAACCUUCCUUUCUAUGGCCCUCCUGGUGGGGAGGCCUGGCCUCAAGUCAAGGAGAUGCGGAAAGCAGUCCCAGAGGGAUGGGGGAGGCAGACCAGGCACUAGAAAAAUGGAAGGAGGUGCCCUGGAAGAGAUGCUGAGAGCAGCCUACACUUGGACUUCACAAGACGCCACUGAGAGCAGCCUGCACUUUACACCUGGACUCCACAAGACACCACUGAGAGCAGCCUACACUCUACACUUGGACUUCACGAGACGCCACUGAGAGCAGCUUACACUUGGACUUCACAAGACGCCGCUUCUGUGCGCUGUAAGUUAUCCUGGGUCCCUGUGAGGAGCUUUGGUUCUGUUAUUCCCAAACCUCCAGGAAGUCUGGCACUAGCCUACAGAAAAUCUCAAAGGUUCUAUUUCACUCUUGUGUAAAGGUGCAAAAGGAGAUGAAGCCUGAAGCCAGAGAGAUGGUGGCAGUGCCCAGGGAACAUCUGUGUGGUUGGUGGUGGCCUGAUGGUGGUCACAGCACCAGGGGCUGCAGAGGGCCUCAGUGAGGGGAAUGUGAAGCCCCCAGUGUAGCACCUGAGCUGUAGCCCCAUGGAGAAAUUGUCAGACAUGGCUUGGAGAUAGGGGUGGAGUGCACUCAGGACAGUGAGUUCCAGCAAAUCAACUGCAGAGUCUCAAGCCACUGUAAUUUGAGUCCUACGGGAAAUGUCAUAUUCUGGAGUCCAUGUCUCACAAAGCCAGACUUCUGGAUGAAGUGGGGUGGAAGACCUGGCAUCCCUCCCAUUUCUUACCUUCUCUUCAUGUUCUACACCCCCCAGUUCCCUAGGGAGAUCUCUCAAGACAUCUCUGUGAACUCUAAAAAUCUGUAGAGUGCAGGCUGAAACACGUCAGUCCCUUUGGGGAUGUCCCCAUGUUGAGACAACAUGGGGGAACCCGUGGGUGGUAACUGAACUGAACUGAUGUGACUCCUUUCACACGGAACAUGGCUUGGAGGCAUUGCAGAAUGCAUCUCUGAUAUCUAGAGUGAGCUGCAGGCUUGAGAAAGGAAAAUUCUGGUUCUGAAUGCUUUCAAUAAAGUCACAUUUAUGGAAGGGGGGAGCUAAGUGACAGGGCAUUCCAAGAGCGCUGCCAUCCCUCGAGAUCUGCACAGCCUCACCCGCCCCUCCCACUGGGAACAUCUUCUGCAGUGGAAGAGCAGCCACCCUAGGGCUUCAACCUGAGGGUAAGAGGGUCAGAUUUGCAGGACACCUGUCAUUCAAUAAACCAGAAGUUCAAAAGUUCUGCUGAGAACCUUGGAGCUCUGCCUCUUUAGACAAUGGGAAGGAAAGAGGAAUUUGCAUUUGGAUAUGUUUUCUGUGGGGCAAUGCUGUGCUAAGGCACAUUUAAUUCUCUCAAGAGUACUGUGGUGUUGGCGAUAUUAUGGCCACACACCAUAGAUGAGAAGACCAGGUCUCAGCUAAAGGUUGUAACCUGGACCCCUCCUUUUGUUUCAGUGGCCAGACUCUGCCAACCCUUCCACCUCCCUGGUUCCCAGUGGGAAGGGCAGGUGAGACUAUGCAGAUCUCAAGGGAUGGCAACGCUCUUGGGAUGCUCUGCUACUUGGCUCCUCCAUCCCAGUACCAUGACUUAAUUGGAAGCAUUCGGAAUCAGAAUUUCCCUUUCUUUUUUUUUUUUUUUUUUU